rnacentral:rRNA from 1 species
AUUGAACGCUGGCGGCAGGCCUAACACAUGCAAGUCGAGCGGAUGAAGGGAGCUUGCUCCUGGAUUCAGCGGCGGACGGGUGAGUAAUGCCUAGGAAUCUGCCUGGUAGUGGGGGAUAACGUCCGGAAACGGGCGCUAAUACCGCAUACGUCCUGAGGGAGAAAGUGGGGGAUCUUCGGACCUCACGCUAUCAGAUGAGCCUAGGUCGGAUUAGCUAGUUGGUGGGGUAAAGGCCUACCAAGGCGACGAUCCGUAACUGGUCUGAGAGGAUGAUCAGUCACACUGGAACUGAGACACGGUCAAGAGUCCUACGGGAGGCAGCAGUGGGGAAUAUUGGACAAUGGGCGAAAGCAUGAUCCAGCCAUGCCGCGUGUGUGAAGAAGGUCUUCGGAUUGUAAAGCACUUUAAGUUGGGAGGAAGGGCAGUAAGUUAAUACCUUGCUGUUUUGACGUUACCAACAGAAUAAGCACCGGCUAACUUCGUG